UCUGCUACCACCGCUUAUGGAGGAAGACUUUGCUCAUGAAGAGCUUCACUUAGUUGUAGAUGCUACCCAUCACAUGGAGCACAUGGAGACCGAUGAAAUCACUUCUGGACUGCAAAAGGCAGAUCACCAUCAGAUGCUGAUCUCGACUUAGGGUUCUCCGAAGGAUAUAGAUUUUGACUGUUGAUAACAGGAUUGUGUGAUCAAAUCUUAUAUUCAUCAUAUAUUUUUAUAUAAAAAUUAGUUUAUUAAUGAAUCGAAUAGGCUUGGAUGCUGAGAUCCUGAUCAAAAUUUUGAACAAGAGGACCCCUUAGUUUCUUUUGAAUUGUGUUAAGAAUACUCCCGAUAAAUGUAUGGGGUGCAAAUUCUCUCAUGUAUUUUGAGAGGUUAAUAACAUUGCUCACUGGUUAGUACAA